GAUGAACGCUAGCGGCAGGCUUAAUACAUGCAAGUCGUGGGGCAGCAUGAAUGUAGCAAUACAUUUGAUGGCGACCGGCAAACGGGUGCGGAACACGUACACAACCUUCCGAUAAGUGGGGAAUAGCCCAGAGAAAUUUGGAUUAAUACCCCGUAACAUAUAGAGGUGGCAUCAUCUUUAUAUUAUAGCUACGGCGCUUAUUGAUGGGUGUGCGGCUGAUUAGAUAGUUGGCGGGGUAACGGCCCACCAAGUCUACGAUCAGUAGCUGAUGUGAGAGCAUGAUCAGCCACACGGGCACUGAGACACGGACCCGACUCCUACUGGAGGCAGCAGUAAGGAAUAUUGGUCAAUGGACGCAAGUCUGAACCAGCCAUGCCGCGUGAAGGAUUAAUGUCCUCUGGAUUGUAAACUUCUUUUAUCUGGGACGAAAAAAGGCGAUUCUUCGUCACUUGACGGUACCAGAUGAAUAAUCACCGGCUAACUCCGUGCCAGCAGCCGCGGUAAAAC
rnacentral:rRNA from 1 species